CCUAGGACGACGCAUGCGCACCACGGCACACAUGGAACACACGAGCCUCCAGAGCACGAGAGCUUCAGGUUUGGAUAUGAACCACACACGCACAUGAUGGUUGUGGUGUCCGCGCAGAACUGCUAUUUGUUCUCCCUGUCUGAUGCCGAGCAAACCUCAGUCCACACCGACUCCGGCAUUCGGGCUAUUGAGCUUAAAUGCCUAGGCUUGAUCAACACUGGGACCAAGACAAUGACCACCAAGGACCAGUUGGACGUCCAUGUUGCCCGUGUAUGCGGCAAUCACGCCACGAACUACUAUAUGGUUGCUUAAUCAGAUAACCGAAAUAAAGUGUAA